rnacentral:lncRNA from 1 species
AUUUGCAUCAAAUAUCUGCCUAUAAUGGUGAACACUGAGCAACUGGCCUGGUUUCAAGGAAAAAAAUCAUGUGAAUUUGAUUGAAGUGCUCUCUGUGGGGUGCACCACACAGACGGGGACAUAUGUGCAGCCUGGCUGUGUGUUUGCUAAUAGGAAAGAGGACUGAGGCCAAGAAAGAGAGGCUGGAGGUGAGAUGACUCAUUCUCUCAAACAGAAGAGGGAGCACUGAAUUUGAACAUGAUGCAGACAAAGGAAGGCAAACCAGCUGAAGAAAGAGGUGCCAGGAGACUUGCAAGGAGACAUGGAAUAUCAGUAUGGUGGGAUGAACUGG